AGGUCAAAGAUAAAUUUACAAGACCUUCAAGGAACAUGCACCAAGAAAGCAUCUUGAAUAGCCUGAUAAUUCUGAACAAACAUGGGCAUUGGGUUCUAAAGGACUAAUAUAAAAUCUGAAUUAAAAAUCUCAAUACAAUGUCUCCUGGAAGAUGAAUAGAUGUAAUCAGCGAGACGACUGCUUGCAUUUGGCUUUUUCAGAGAAGUUGGAGGUCUUUUCCAUACAGAUGGCUCAGAUCUGAACACAGCUCAGUGUUGUACAUGCUAUGUUCUGUGGAAAGGUCUCAGUGUGGAUUUCACACUGUAAAGCAGCACAGAUGGUAAUCUAUGGUGCAUUUCUGAAAGCAAAUACAAGCUGGGGAAAAGGGGUUUUCUUUUAAUGAAAUAAUGAAGUUCAUGUGAUCAGUGUGAGAUUGUCCUUUGCCGCGCCUCUGAGGGGUUAAAAAUGGAUUUUAAAAAUUAUAUUGUAGCCAGCAACUUCUAAUUUUAUAGUUAAUUUAGGGUGAGUUAUAGAAACUUUGUUUUAAGAGCCAAGUUUAUUUUUUGUAAACUAAUAAUUCACUUGGUGCUGGUCUGUUUUGACUUUGGGAUACUAACAUUCUUCAGAGGAGACCUGGUUCUUCCAGGGAAGAAUUUUAUUCUCAAACUAUAGAAUAGUGGGCUAAGCAGUGUUGAAUAGUUCUCUAUCAAGAAGACAAAUCACUGCAUUCCUCUCUGUAGGCUGUUUGUUCAGACAGACCUCAUGUCUAAAUAUAAAUGUUUGUCUAGCUUGGCAGUAGCACGAGUUUUCAGCGUUAGGUUUUAAGAGAGUUUCAUACUCUUUACUGAAGAUAGCAGAUCUCUUAAUGUUGCUUAUAAGUACAGUACUAGCAAGUCUGUAACCUCUUAGAACUCAAGAGGGUGGAAACACUGUUUUGAAAGGAAAAUACCAUUUCUCUAAGCCAACUUUAAUCUCUUUAAAGACAUUUUAAUUUAUUUGGUUGAAAAAUCUAGAUAGUUUUUUAAAAAAACUAUCAAAUCUGUAUAUAUUAUAAUAAAGCUUCUUAUACUAGGAGCUUAUUGAAAGUGUUCAAGAAGUAAAGAAAAUCAACUUGUGUACUGAUAAAACACUCUAGCUUGGGCUAGAAGUUCUUGAUAAUGUCCAGGAAACCCUGGCUUGCUCGCCAAGCCUAAUGAAGGGAAAGUCAGCUUGGAGAGCCAAUGACGGAACCACAUGAAUGGCCCUGGAGUCAUGUGCCUUGAUCCUGUGGCCAGGAGGUUGGUGACUGAAUCAAUCACAUGGGGCUCUUUGAUAGAUACAUAAAAGCUCUUAGCUUCCUCAGGGGAUCAACAGAGUUAUUGAAUCUUAAUUUUUUUUUUAAUCUACGAGUUUUGUAUAAAUAAUAACUCCUUAUUUUGUAUUAUUCCAUCUAAUGCUUCAAGUUUUGGUCUUGGAAAGCUGAUGUCUCAUGUAGAAGAUGGACUCUGAGAAACAUUCCAGUCCUGCGGGCAGCAUGGGAGCCUGAGUGAUUAUGACUGCAGUAUUGUUGUGGAACAGUGACCUUUUCUGUUCUAUAUAAAGUUUAAAUUGCUCCACUUGUGACUUUUCAGCUAGUGACUUCUUACUUGGAAGCAGCAGUGAAAAGUGUGUUGAGUAUUCAUUUUUGGUGACUGUAACCAAUAAUCCUCUUGCUGAAUUAAUGUUUUGUGCAAUUACUAAAUUGUAUACUUUUUGUUAUAGAGUACUUUGUUCCAGUUCCAGUAAAUUAUGAAAAGGAAGUUAAUACUUAAAGUGUAAGCAGUAGCCUUUUUUGUUUGGCUUAAUCCUAGGCCUGAGGCCUGAGGCUUGGAAGUUUUCAAAUUCUGGCAGAGUUGUAAUUUAUAAUUCCAUAAGAAGGGUCACACAGUCAUUUAUCUAACUCUACAGUAUUAAUGGCAGGCUGGUGUAUGUGCAUUAAAAUGAUCUUUCUUCUCCUUAAAGGGUUUGAUUAGGUUUAGUGUCUUAGCCAGACUACUGUGUAUCAAAGGUGGGAGGUGUUAGGAGGACGCUUUCUGAGUAUGUAUUUAAGCUGUAUCAGCUGAACUGGAGAAGGGAAUUUGUACAGCUUCCUAUAGCCAAGGUUGGAUUUGUCAGAAGAGCUGACUUGGUUUAUUUGCAGUUGUUGACCAUGCUUGCUGUAGAAGUGAAAAGGUAUGUUUGAGCCACUACCAACCAGGGCCCAGAUUCUAGAGAUUUAGUUUGAUUUUCUUCUUGAAAUUACCUGUGAUCACAUAUGUGGUCAUCCUCUCCCAAGCAAAGCAGUGUAGACAGAAAAUGAAGGACUUUGCACCCCACAUCCUGCUUGGGUAUUGAUGGGCAGUGACAUGCAUGUGGCAGGACAGGUAGUUUUCCAUUGCUGUAACAGAUACCUGAGAAAAAUAAGCAGGAAAGGGGUUUUUGGCUUAUAGUUUUGAAGAUUUCAGCCCAUGACACAUUGGUCCCAUUGUUUUGGCUUUGUGGUACCACAUACAUCAUGGUGGGAAAUGUGUGGUGCUGGAGGCCUGUUUAUCUCCUGGCUAGUAAUCAGAGCAACAGGAAGAAAGCUGGGUCCCAGAGUCCCUUCUAGAGCAUGACCACACUGACUGGAAGACCUCUAGACCCCACUGAAAGUUGCACCAUCUCCCAGUAGGUGCAUGGACUGGGGACCAAGGGGUCAUUCCUAGUCUAAACUACAUCAGGUUUUUCCUCCAUGCAGGAGAGAAUACAGAGUAAAAUCGUCAAGGACUCUCACAGCAAACAGUGUGAGCUCAAAGGACACAAAGCAGCAAAGCACACCAAGUUCGAUUCACUAUAUAGGAGGGUGAAGCACUUACAUUAACACUUUGUUGAGAGUUUUUUCUAAAAGACCAUUGUUUCUCCAACUAUGCUCCUAUGCUGUAAAGCUAGAAUUUAUUUUUAAUGAACUUUGCCCCAUCAGCAAAAAGAAUGGGUAACCUUUAUGCUGGAAGCUAGGAGAAGAUGGCAAAUGGUUGUUUAUAGUUACAUGUUUUAAGAUUAACAUGACAUUUUAAUUGUGGUGUACAUGGAAUGUCCUCUCCCUCUGAGCAAGUCUGAGAGCUGCCAAGAGGUGUGGGCAUUCUUGUGUCAGGAUGUGAGUUCAAGUCUCACAGUUGCUAGCAAACCUGUGCUAACAGCUGGGGCAGAGUGCUCUGUUAACAGUGCUUUAAAUUCCAGUGGGUGUCACACAUACUUGGAGAACCUGUUUAAACAUUGGUGCCUAUGCCCUAGGGUUUCUGUUUCCCCAUCUAGAGUGGGGCCUGGACUUUAGCAGCUCUAACAACUUUGCAGGUGGAUCUGCUGCUGUAUAUAAUAGGGUUGAAUUUCAGUGUGAAGUUCUCAGUACAACUGGGAGUUAAUCAUAUUUGAAAAUUGUUCUUUCAGAAGCACCAAGUUGGAAAACACUCAAGGAGAACAAGUGCUGGUUAAUAAAUCAGAAUGAGUCCUAGAGAGGAGUGACAGCCAACCAAGUAGAAAAGUUACUUGGAUUUGGUGAUUUCCAACCCUACCCCCAUAAUCCCUAAACACCACAGAGGUCUCCACAUCUUCAGCUUGUGGAAUGACUGCCCCUGAGAAAGACUUUUGGCCACUAUUGCCCUCCCAUAAGACAGUAGAAGACAAAAGCACACACACAAAUUUGAAGUACUUACACAGAUGAUCGCAUAUACACUAUCCAUGCUACCAAGUGUGCCCUAUAGCCCCAAAGCUGCUCCUUUGUACUGUAACUUUCAGGUCCGCUACACUGGACCAGGAAACCCAUUAAACAGCGUUCCAGUUAAGUCUGAAGCCAACUGUCAGCAUAAAAACAGGCUUUGUGCCAGCCACUAACAAAGCAUAGCAGUGCUUUGUGCGUUCUGUCAAAACUUGGCAAGAAGGCUUCAGGAAGUAAUCAAAAUUGGAAGGUCUGCAGCCACUUAGCCUGUGUGUAUUACAGCAUGUCUUUGUUUCUGUGUCACUUGUAAAUUGAAACUGAUCAGGGAUUGAAAGGACUGUUGGGUAGAGUGGUGGACAGUUGAGGGAACGAUUUUUGGUCAGUCUGCACUCCUUGGACACAAGCAAAUCUAGAUUAUUGUUGGUCCUGAUAUGUGAUUAAAGAACCUUACAACCUAGUUUUCAGCCCCAAAGAGCUGACAGUGUCUUAUCUUGCCGUGCCACUCUAGACUUGGGCUGUAGCCUCACCUGGCUCCUUCAGUGGAGCUAUGAAGUUUGGGUGCACUUCCUGCAUAGUUCAGUCUCAUCUAGGGCAGACCUGUGACAGCUGUUGCUCUUAACUUCCUCUCUACUGCAAAAUAUACUUAGUUCUGUGUGGGCCCCACCUUGGCCCAUGGCUCCUUCAGCAGAUCUGAACGUUCUUUCUCCAGGCCGUGGCACUUGUUAAGUAACCAAAGCUUAAAAUUGGUUUGCUGGUCCAACCUGGAUAGUUCAAGGUUUAAAUUGAGUUCUUGGGAGACAGCCAUUUGUAACACCCCGGACCAUGCUUACUGGGUCGUAGAAUCCAAGCCCUCCAUGCCCCUCAGAAAAACAGUGAACACAUAUCUCCAGUGUUUCUUGAUGAAUUAUAUAUACAUAAAUAAAAGUUAAACAUGUUUUUCCCCCUGAACUCAUAAAUCUUGCCCAUGUUAUCCUCUAGACUGAGGUCUUAUUCCUAAAAACAAAUUCCAUACAUUUACAGGUCUUCAAUGGUUGUUGAAAGGCUAAUAAACAUUUACUGCAAAGAGAAAUUUAUAAUAAGAGAAAGGCUGUGUUGGAGCUGAGAAUUGAGAGACCUUCAUUCUAACCCUUGGUCUGCUAUUAACUGGCUGGGAGCCUUAGGUUAUUCACCUCAUUACCUCUUGUCCUCAGUUUCCUUAUAAAAUGAGCCAGUGGAUCAGGCCUUUUAAGGUCUAAUCCAGCACUACAUAGUCUAUGAAUUGCUGUUUAUUCUUACCUCAUAUGUGUACUUAUCUGCACUGAAUCAUUCUGUCACCCAAGAACAGAAAUGUCUUUUUCUAGUGGUUGAAAUAUGGUUCUCAAGUAAGUACCUAAUUUGGGGAGCAGUCUAGGUCAGUGGUGGUGAACUGAUGGCACGAGUGCUGCAGUGGGCUGUAUCACUGAAAGCUCUAAAAGGUUUGCCAUCACUGUUCUAGGACCUCCCCAGAGCACCAGAGAUACUCAGCAGAAAUGGCUCAGCCAGUUGUCUUCCCUUCUGAUAAUCUCCCCUUGGAAGCUAGCUGCACAGCUAACUCUAACCUUUUGGAUCCCAGACCUCUGUGGGUCACAGCAUUUGCCUCCUUGGGAUGCCUGGCUCAUCUGCCACUGCCCCUGGCUGGCACUGCACUUCUUUAUGGAGCUUGAGGCCCAGAGGAAAAGGAGAUGAUGGAUCUCCUCUUUUUGUACUCAGCAUAUCCUUUUUGGAUACCUUUACCAUAUAUUCCUUGUUUUCAAAUCUACACCUUAUUGAAAUGAACAAUCCUUUUACCCCUCCAGUUUCAUUUGUUCCUUCUUUCCACAAUCCAUCCACUCACCCCCACACCCAUGCUACCUUUUUACCACCUCACACCUUUUUAAAUAUACAGAUCUGACUUUAGGUGCACUCAAAAGCUACUACCUAGCAUGUAUUUGUAGCUGCCUUAAUAACUCCUGAGAUUUGUGUAUGUUAACACGUUAAUUAUACAAAUUAAUGGGAUUCAUUGUGGCAUUUCCGUAAAUUAUGUGGUAUGUCCAUCCACCCUUCUUCCAUCUCCUUUCCAUUUCUCCUCUUUCCACAACCCCAUUCUCAGUCCCUCUAGUGUCAGUUCCUUUUUAUUUUCCACUGAUACUUCUCUGUAUCUGGCUUACAUCCUCAAAGCAUCUUAAAGUACAUCAUCUUGCUCUUCCCUAAACAAACCUGUGAUGUAACCAUGAUAGGUGGCUCUUAUUUUAGAACAUUAGACACACUAAAAUGACUUGCUCAAGAUAACAAUGUCCAAAUGGGAAAGCCAGAAAACCUUCAGUGUUAUUCUUUCUCAGUAUGUUGAAUAUAUGGUAACCCAGCACAUUUAGAAACUCACUAAGAAACAACACAUCUAUUGGAUUGUGGGAAUUAAGUCCAUCACUGACUAUAAAUUAAAUUAUUUUGAGAAUGGAGAAUAAACAAA
ensembl:lncRNA